rnacentral:misc_RNA from 1 species
CUAUAUAAUAGGCUAUUUGACUGGUUUUCAAAAUCCAUUUUAUCUUAUUAAGUAGAUAUUAAAAAACCCAGUAAUAGCUUUUUUUUAUUUAAUUCUUGUACAUAUUUGCUAAAAAAUAUCAAACGAAAAGUACAACAUUUAAAUAUCUCGCCAAUACGCUAUUUUGACAAUAUGGCGCUGCAACGGGGUCGGUGACGUCACUUGCCUGUAGUCUGAUCUGUGGCACCUGUCAUUUACAUACAUUUGUUGCAAACAAAAAACGAAAGUGUUAUUAUAACAGUGAUUUAUGUAAUAAAAUAAGUUACAAAUGGUGUGCAGUUCCAAAAUGUACGAAUACGUCGAUAAAUACUCCAUAAAAACUAUUCGUAAGUGUUCCAAAGAAUGUCAAAGUGCACCGAAAGUGGUUGCUACUUUCUCGGAGGGAUCAUUACAUAGCGAAUAGUACAAAUAUUUUCUCCUGUGAAGACCGUUUCGAUAUGGAAAAUGACAUGGCAAAUUGCUACCAGUACAAAAUGGGUUUCAGCCGGAAAAUAAUUCUAAAAGAUAGUUUUGCCUUCUAAAUGUCAUUGCCAACCAGAUCGCAUUAAAAGAAUGCAUGCUGGUACUUCCAUAUCUGUAUUUGUCAAACGGCAAAGAAUGGAACUUGUUAAAUAAAGUUAAGAUAUUCAACAACCUAUAAUAAACAAUGAUGAAGCCUACGCUACUGCAAUCGAAGCUUGUACAAAAAAAUUAUCCCAAAAAUGUGAGAAAAGUAUGUUAACAGAACCUGUUGUAAUAGUAGAAAAAUCAGUCCAG